rnacentral:rRNA from 1 species
GACGAACGCUGGCGGCGUGCUUAACACAUGCAAGUCGAACGGAAAGGCCCUGCUUUUGUGGGGUGCUCGAGUGGCGAACGGGUGAGUAACACGUGAGUAACCUGCCCUUGACUUUGGGAUAACUUCAGGUAACUGGGGCUAAUACCGGAUAGGAGCUCCUGCUGCAUGGUGGGGGUUGGAAAGUUUCGGCGGUUGGGGAUGGACUCGCGGCUUAUCAGCUUGUUGGUGGGGGAGUGGCUUACCAAGGCUUUGACGGGUAGCCGGCCUGAGAGGGUGACCGGCCACAUUGGGACUGAGAUACGGCCCAGACUCCUACGGGAGGCAGCAGUGGGGAAUAUUGCACAAUGGGCGGAAGCCUGAUGCAGCAACGCCGCGUGCGGGAUGACGGCCUUCGGGUUGUAAACCGCUUUCGCCUGUGACGAAGCGUGAGUGACGGUAAUGGGUAAAGAAGCACCGGCUAACUACGUG